UACGAAGGGGGCUAGCGUUGUUCGGAAUCACUGGGCGUAAAGCGCACGUAGGCGGAUCUUUAAGUCAGGGGUGAAAUCCCGAGGCUCAACCUCGGGAACUGCCUUUGAUACUGGGGAUCUCGAGUCCGGGAGAGGUGAGUGGAACUGCGAGUGUAGAGGUGAAAUUCGUAGAUAUUCGCAAGAACACCAGUGGCGAAGGCGGCUCACUGGCCCGGAACUGGACGCUGAGGUGCGAAAGCGUGGGGAGCAAACAGGG
rnacentral:rRNA from 1 species